AGUGAACGCUGGCGGUAGGCUUAACACAUGCAAGUCGAACGGCAGCACAGUUAGAGCUUGCUCUUACGGGUGGCGAGUGGCGGACGGGUGAGGAAUACAUCGGAACCUACUUUUUCGUGGGGGAUAACGUAGGGAAACUUACGCUAAUACCGCAUACGACCUACGGGUGAAAGCAGGGGAUCUUCGGACCUUGCGCGAUUGAAUGAGCCGAUGUCGGAUUAGCUGGUUGGCGGGGUAAAGGCCCACCAAGGCGAGGAUCCGUAGCUGGUCUGAGAGGAUGGUCAGCCGCACUAGAACGUGGACAAGGUCCAGAAUCCUAAGAGAGGCAGCAGUGGGGAAUAUUGGACAAUGGGCGCAAGCAUGAUCCAGCCAUACCGCGUGGGUGAAGAAGGCCUUCUGGUUGUAAAGCCCUUUUGUUGGGAAAGAAAAGCAGCAGGUUAAUACCCCGCUGUUCUGACGGUACCCAAAGAAUAAGCACCGGCUAACUUCGUG
rnacentral:rRNA from 1 species